rnacentral:rRNA from 1 species
UACAGAGGUCUCAAGCGUUGUUCGGAUUCAUUGGGCGUAAAGGGUGCGUAGGCGGCGCGGUAAGUCGGGUGUGAAAUCUCGGAGCUUAACUCCGAAACUGCAUUCGAUACUGCCGUGCUUGAGGACUGGAGAGGAGACUGGAAUUUACGGUGUAGCGGUGAAAUGCGUAGAUAUCGUAAGGAAGACCAGUGGCGAAGGCGGCAUCCUGGACCAAUACUGACACUGAAAAGCGAAAGCCAGGGGAGCAAACGGG